rnacentral:rRNA from 1 species
UGGGGAAUUUUGCACAAUGGGGGAAACCCUGAUGCAGCGACGCCGCGUGAUUUAGAAGGCCUUCGGGUUGUAAAAAUCUUUUCUAUGGGAAGAAAAUGACAGUACCAUAGGAAUAAGGACCGGCUAAUUACGUGCCAGCAGCCGCGGUAAUACGUAAGGUCCGAGCGUUGUCCGGAAUCAUUGGGCGUAAAGGGUACGUAGGCGGGUAAGCAAGUUAGAAGUGAAAUCCUAUAGCUCAACUAUAGUAAGCUUUUAAAACUGCUCAUCUUGAGGUAUGGAAGGGAAAGUGGAAUUCCUAGUGUAGCGGUGAAAUGCGCAGAUAUUAGGAGGAAUACCGGUGGCGAAGGCGAGUUUCUGGCCAUAACCUGACGCUGAGGUACGAAAGCGUGGGUAGCAAACAGG